rnacentral:rRNA from 1 species
UACGUAGGGCGCAAGCGUUUAUCCGGAAUUAUUGGGCGUAAAGAGCUCGUAGGCGGUUUGUCGCGUCUGCCGUGAAAGUCCGGGGCUCAACUCCGGAUCUGCGGUGGGUACGGGCAGACUAGAGUGAUGUAGGGGAGACUGGAAUUCCUGGUGUAGCGGUGAAAUGCGCAGAUAUCAGGAGGAACACCGGUGGCGAAGGCGGGUCUCUGGGCCGUAACUGACGCUGAGGAGCGAAAGCGUGGGGAGCGAACAGG